UUUGAAUCCAGGGCAAUUCUAACUGGUUUGUAGUGCAAAAUCUCAAUAGUUACACUUGCAGCCAGAUGACAAAGAGAUGAAACACACCCAGUCAUCUCUGUAUAUGAGAAACCUUGUCUGGGGAAUUUGAAGAAAUCGCCAGAAUUUCCCUACAGUUUCCAGGGCUUUCUGGGAGGGUCCCGAGAGCAGAUUUCCUGAGCAGCUGUGCAGAUUCUCCAGAAAGGCCAAUGUCUUUUACUGUCUUUUUUCAUGAAUGGAUCAGCACUGGGAGGGGAACAAUUGAGUCAUGUGUAUCAUCUCCAACAAUCACAAAGCUUUCACUACAGAUUUCAAAGGAAUAUGUUCCAACCACAAUAAGCGCUGAAAUGUUGUUUUAUGAUCCAGGAGGACUGCUGGAGCUUCAACAAUAAUAAUUAUAUUCCAGACAAGAGGAAAGAAAAAGAAGAAGUGAAAACGAGUACAUCUCCCAGUCGCCAAAAUGUCUUUUAAAAAGCCUUCCCAGAAGUUUCCCCAAACUUUCACGUAAAACUCAUGGGCUUGAGCUUUGUCACUAGGCUGCAAGAGAAGCUAGAAAAUAGAAAUUUUUUUUCUUAACUGAACACAAAAGCUGUCCUAUCUCCAAAACCAACCAACCAACCAACCACCCAAACAAGCAAACCAAUAAACAAUGAACAUCUUAAAAGUCUGAAAUAGGAUAAAUACUAACAUGUUGAAACUAACAAGAUGAAUAAAUCAUCUUGAUUUUUGUAUUAAAAUGAGUUUAAAAUUUAACAAAUAUGUCUUGUAAGUAUGGUGAAAAAGUUUGUGAAAUAAAAUAUUGGUGAAUA